CCUACGGGCGGCAGCAGUAGGGAAUCUUUCACAAUGGGCGAAAGCCUGAUGGAGCCACGCCGCGUGCAGGAUGAAGGCCUUCGGGUUGUAAACUUCUUUUAUAAGCGAGAAAUAUGACGGUAACUUAUGAAUAAGGAUCGUCUAACUACGUGCCAGCAGCCGCGGUCAUACGUAGGCUCCGAGCGUUAUCCGGAGUGACUGGGUGUAAAGAGUUGCGUAGGUGGCAUAAUAAGUAGCUAGUGAAAACUGGUGGGUCAAGCAUUCAGAUUGUUAGUUAGACUGUUAAGCUUGAGACCGUUAGGGGUAACUGGAAUGUGUGGUGUAGGAGUGAAAUCCGUAGAUAUUAGAAGGAACACCAAUAGCGAAGGCAGGUUGCUGGGCCGGAUCUGACGCUAAUGCACGAAAGCGUGGGGAGCAAACGGGAUUAGAUACCCCUGUAGUC
rnacentral:rRNA from 1 species